rnacentral:tRNA from 2 species
GGCCUAGUAGUUUAAUGAAAAUGUCAAGCUGCAAUUUUGAAGAUGUAAAUAUUACCUGAGCCU